UGAUGAUCUGCAUCGACGGUCUCUUGGAAGGGUCAGGGUCGAUGCACCGGCUCACCACGCUGCACAGGACCGCGAGGUCCUCCGUCCUCACGUUGCUCAGCUCGGGGUCGACUAGCUUCCCGAUCUCCUCGGGCUGCUGGAGGAACUUGGUAGCCUGCGUAAAGAAUCAGAAUCAGCAGUGAGAUUCUACUUCAUGGUGAUACGAAAUUAGGAUUGUGGAGCAAGCUUGCUUAGCUUUUUAUGUAAAUCAGCAGUGCCGGAAAUAGAUAAAGGACAUAGAUGGGCUUACCCAGUCAACCAGAUAUCCUUUAUCCUUGCA